GACGAACGCUGGCGGCGUGCUUAACACAUGCAAGUCGAACGAAGUGGCGAACGGGUGAGUAACGCGUAAUCAACCUGCCCUUCAGAGGGGGACAACAGUUGGAAACGACUGCUAAUACCGCAUACUGAAGGAGGGGAUUGCGUCUGUUUAGCUAGUUGGAGGGGUAACGGCCCACCAAGGCGAUGAUCAGUAGCCAGCCUGAGGGGGCGACCGGCCACAUGGAGACGGAGAAACGGCCCAGACGCCUACGGGGGGGAGCAGUGGGGGAUAUUGCACAAUGGGCGAAAGCGUGAUGCAGCGACGCCGCGUGGGGGAUGAAGGCUUUCGGGUUGUAAACCUCUGUCGCUAGCGAACGGGUAGGUGGAGAAGAAGCGCCGGCUAACUACGUGCCAGCAGCCGCGGUAAUUC
rnacentral:rRNA from 1 species